CACAACACAACGACUCACAAAAUAAUCCACUCUUCUGAGGUCGGUUCCACAUCGUAACAGAAUUUCCGAAAAAGCACGCUUAAAUAGACGGCAAUUCUCACCCACUCCAAAUUGUCGAGCCCCCAAAAAAGCUUCCGUGACGAUUAAAAUUUCAAAAAGUUGCUAGACCUUUACCCUCUGGCGCGGUCAUGUGUGGAACUGUGACUUCGUUCUUGGUCGUUCGCUAAAUUCUCUCUCGAUUUUGCGUUCUCUUCGAAUUGGAAGAUCUGUAUUCGAACUUCGAUCAAUAAGAGGUGUUUUUUUUUUUUUUCGAAUUGAAGGUAGGUACACUGUAUGCUUAAUGUUUUGAUGUUGAUUUUUGGGAUUCUUUGUUGAAAUAAACGAUACGAGUUUUUUGAGGUUUCACAUUAGGGCUAGGGUUCUGAGAUCUUUUGGAGCAUUUUGAUUUUCUCUUACUUUUUUGAGUUUGAGAUUUCUUGAUGCUUAAGUUUGGAAUGAUUAGUUGUUUUUGAAUGAUUAUGUUGGCAUUUUGUGAAGGAUUUAAUCUGGAGAGUUUCUGGGUUGAGGAGUUGUGAUAGUUAAAUUUAGGUUUGAAUGAUUUUAGGACUUGCAAUUUGGGUAUACCAGAACAACAAAAAGAAAUGUAGAAAAUUUUACUGGAGAAAAAAUUUGGAUAUGGCAAUUCAAUUAGAAAAUUUGUCCUUAGGCAAAUGUUUUUUUUAUUAUUUUUUAAAUGGUUACUGUUGCAUAAAAAUUCUUGCUUUCCUUGAGGCAAUUUUGAUGAACUUCAGUAAUGGAACAGUUCAAUCUUAUUCUCCGUCCUUAUGUAAGGAUUAAGGAAUAUGUAUCUUAAAUAGUUGGUAUUGGGUAUAUGAGGGCAAAGAUUAAGUAUGUGUAUGUAGUUUGAAGUUUGUUCUAAACUUCUCUCUCUCUCUCUCUCUCUCUCUCUCUCUCUCUCUCUCUCUCUCUCUUUGUUUUAUUUUAUUUUAUUUUAUUUUAUUUAUUUAUUUAUUUUUGGGAUUUGGGAUAGGCUGGGAAGGUUUUAUGUAAAUGGAAUUUUUUUUGCCCCAUCGAAUAACCUGUCUUGUAGGCCAAGUGUUACCUUUAGAGAUCAAGUCUUGUUGUUGUCGUGUUUUUUUAUCUGAAAAAGAAAGUAAGUUUGAAAAUUUGUGGCUAGCUAAUAUGGCAUGAUGUAUGUGUAUUCAGGAAAGGUAUUUAUUGAAUGUCAAGACAGAAUAAUGAACAAAAUUCAUUUACUCUACUUUUUCUGAAUGUAGAUAUUGAAUUGGAAAGGUUCGGUCUUAGACCCUCAUUGUUGUGUGCAAUUUGGAGUUAAGCUGUUAUUCAAAUUACAGCUUAAGGUAUGCAGAAGCCUUUUUUCUGCUACAUUUGGUAGAUAUGAAAUAUGAAAUAGGCUUCGAUGGAGAUUUGCAGUACAUUGGAGUUUUGUAUGUCUGAGAGUUAUUACAGUACUUGGAAAUCAAAUUGAGGGAUAAUUUCCUUUUCCAUAUUGGACAAUUUAGGAGAGAAUUACAUUUGUUAUUGAUGUGGUGGAAAAGAGUUAAAAUCUGUGUCUUUGUGAUGUAUAGAAUGUAGUCAUCACAACGGUUGGGAAGAUUGGAGCGGAUGUAGUCCAUAGAAUUAAGGCAUGGAGGCUUAAGUGGAGGAGUGCGUCUGGGGUAUUCUGUGAUAAACGAGUACCCACUAGACUAAAAAGAAAGUUCUAUAGAAUGGUUAUAAGACUAGUGAUAUUGUAUGGGACAGAAUGUUGGACAACUAAGAAACAACAUGUAGAUAAGAUGAGUAUUGCUGAGAUGAGGAUGUUAAGGUGGAUAUGUGGCAAAACUGUAAAAGACAUAAUUAGGAAUGAAUAUAUUCGUGAAUGGGUAGGAGUAGCACCGAUAGAAGAUAAGUUGAGAGAGAAUAGAUUGAGAUGGUUUGAUCAUAUACAACAGCGGAGACCAAUAGAAGUAGUAGUGAAGAAAUGUGAUACAGUGACGGUAGAUGGAAGUGUUAGAGGAAGCGGCAGACCUAGAUUGACGUGGGUUAGUAAAUAGAGAUAUGAAUCUCGUUAAUUUGACUAAUUAGAUGGCCGUUGAUAAAAUCAAGUGGAAAAGAAUGAUUCAUGUAGCCGACCCCAUUUGAUGGGACUUAAGGCUUGGUUUGGUUUGCUCAUAGGUCUGCUUUAGAAAAAGUAGUCUGAAGGAUGAAAAAAUGUCUUCUGACUUUCAGAUUUAACUCAAGUUUUAUUAUUUAGAUAGAUCAUAAGCGGAAUCCUGGAUGACAGAUCUGAAGCGUAAUCCUUGAUGACAAUCUUCUGAUUUUGAUUUUCUUUUUUAUUCUGCCAUCUGUCUGAUAGCAGUUUUAGUCACUAAAUCACAUUUUCCCCCUGGUUGAUUGUGUGUCUUAUAGCUUCUCUCAUUUUUCAUUACAUAGCUUUUGAUUCACAAACUCUUGGGUAAUUCUUUUUCUGCAGAAUUUGAGUUUACUGAAUUGCCAUAUAUUGAUGGCUUAACUUUUUGAGGUGUUUUGGAUUCUGGUAUGCUUUUUUCCUUUCUUAAACAUCUGUCCUUGUUUUAAGUUUUAUGGUUGUAUCUAGAAUGAGUUUCUUGGUAAGAGCUAAACUAUGAUAUUUCUAUAUUAAGUAUCGAAACUGUCCUUAUGUCAAUUUAGAGAAAUGGGCUGCUUGAUUAACUAGUCAGAGAUACCUAGCCCAUUAGAAUGUGGUAUGAGUUUGUGGUGGUCUGAGGAGUAAAAAUCUCAUAUGAAGAAAAUUUGUGAUGGCAUGAUUUGUUUGAUCUUGAUCUCAUACACUGUGCUACUUGGGAGUAUGGCUCUGGCAAUAAAGUUGUCACUUCGUCUCAAAUCAUGACAUAUAAAAGAAAAAUAGCAGAAAUGCUGUAUUUUUUUGUAACUUGUUUACAAUUUUGUGAUCACCUUAUGUAUUCUGGUUAUUGAAAGUGAUAUUGAUGUGGAAAAUGCAAUGAAUUACAAGCUCAACAAAAUUUGCUGGUAAUUUAUAAAAUCAAAGCUGAAUAGUCCAGAUAGAAAGUUUACUGCUUUUUUUUUUUUUAAUAAUCAGUCUGAAAGAUUUAAUAAUGAAAGUCCGCUAUGGGAAAAUUUAAAAUUAAAUUGCUGCAGAGUCUUGUUGGAGAUAAUAAAGGCAGAUGAUUAUGUAUGAGCAAGACCCUGAUGUUGUUCGUUGGGGUCUCCAUCUUCUAGAUGGUUGCAGCGUAUCCACUGAUGGUUCUCCUGGUAGUAUAGUUCAUUAUGACAAGGAUUUAUCACAAGUUGAGUAUGUCAAAGAAGGUUUUUGUGAGACAAAGCACAAUGAAGUAGAGAAUGAUGAGAUAAUUGCACGUGCUUUUCAAGAAGAACUAUCACGACUCGCAGCAGUAGAAGCAUCUGCAUCUUCACAAGCUGGGGAAGAUCAUUUGCAAGCAUCCAUUCUUGCUCAGGAUUGGCGGGGUCCUUCAAAGAGACAUUGCAGUUUUGAGGAUGGGAACAAUCAGAGAGAUGCAGAUGAAAGGGGGAAAUACAGUUCAUGUUCUAGCACAGAAGAAAAAUCACUUGGUCUGGAGGACCAGUCAUGUUCACCGGAGAUAGCAGAUGAGUCUACUCUUGAUGGUGAAGUGGGAAAGAGGUUGAAUCAGAUGGUUCCUAUUCCUCAUGUUCCUAAGAUUAACGGAGAAAUACCCUCAGUUGAUGAAGAAACAACAGAUCAUCAAAGAUUGCUUGAAAGAUUGCUUUUGUAUGAGUUGGUUGAGCUAAAGGUUCAAGGAGAUGGUAACUGUCAGUUCCGUGCUUUGUCAGAUCAAAUCUACCGUACUACUGAACACCACAAAUUUGUAAGAGAACAAGUUGUUGGUCAGCUCAAAUCGCACCCAGAAUUAUAUGAGGGUUAUGUUCCAAUGGCUUACAAUGACUAUUUGAAGCAUAUUAGCAAGACAGGUGAGUGGGGUGAUCAUGUCACAUUGCAGGCUGCUGCAGAUGCGGUAUUAACAACUCUUUCUCUCUCAUGUGCAUGUUAGCAUUAUCUAGCUAUUUGGUGACCAUGGCUUCAACUGUUGUUCACAAAUUCAUAUCUUUGCACUUUGCUUUCAUUUUAUCCUUCAUUAACUGUUCAUAAUUUUCCCUCUAUGUGAAUUAUUUCAUAUCUUGUAUGAAGUUAUGGGUUUAUUGAACUGCUGCUCAAGCAAGAACCGAUUGAUCUUAUGAUGCUACGAUCAUCUGUAAUUAACUUAAAUUCAAACAAUUUGAAAUUUGGUCACAUCACAGUUUGAUCUUGACCUCAACCUUAUUCAAGAAUUUGCUUGUGAAGUUGCUUCAUAUUUCUUUUCUAAAAGAAUUUAGUAGUUUUGUGAGGUGGAGAUAAAUAUAGGUUCACAUAUUGUGUUGAGCCUCAUACUGGAAGCAUGGUGGUCAAGGCAUGUGUCUGUAUUGUGGGUCUACAAAACAGAUGGGUGUUGUGGGACUGAGUCCUAAUCAAGAGAAAGAAGGUUUUCCUACAAUAAUGGGUGGUUGAGACUGCAAAAUAUUUUGCUCAUAUUGAUGUUGGCCUUGGUUGAAAGCUUUGAAGUGAUUUUUCUUUAGCCCAAAGGUUCUUAUUUCAAUCAAAUUGCAUUUUGUAUUUAUGCCAACAAUUAAGCUUAAGUAGACAAACUUGGACGGAUACUUAUCAUUCUAUUUCUAUGACUGGGGAGAGGUGCUUAAAAUUAAAAGGUGUUAAGAUAAAGGAAUGGUGUGUGUUAAGUGGGAUUACAAACAAAGGCCUCACAAACAUUACUUUGAAAUUUAAAUACCCAAUAAAGCAAAGCUGGAUCCUGAAUCAAGUAAUAGGUCUAAGGUUAGUUCUGACAACUCUAGCUUGUAUCAAAUGAAAGAAUUAAAAAAUAAUAAUUAAAAUUUAACUUGAAUUGAUAACAAAAUGGAACAACUUUUCAUUUUUUUUUUUAAAAUUUUAAAGAUACAAGGUUUAUUCAUAAAACUUGUAGAAUGCAGUUCAUUUAGAUAAAUCUAAGUAGAAGGGGAGUUUUGGAGAGUUUGGAGUUUAAAAUAACUGAAAAAAAAUUGAAAAUUAUUAAAAAGACUCAUAUGAUGAUGAGCAUCCCAUAUGGCACCACAAUGGGCUGCUAUGACACUGAUCCAGCCAUUACAACACUUUAAUGAGCCAUUACGGGUACGGAUUUCAUCUUGGCCACUAUAGUAGCCUAUAAUGGCUUUGGAACCCUCUGAAAUCAUCAUGUAAUAUGUAAUAGCCCCUUGGGCUGCCGAACCUUGUGCCUAGAGAGUAGCUCGCUAAAGGUGGAGGUCUCCAGGGGAGGAGAUAAAAGUUGAGGUUUCCUUAAAAACUACCUUACACGUUGAUGUUUCUACAAAAUUCUACAAUUUUAGUGAAACAAUAUAACUGCUUUCUUUUUUCUUUUUGCAAUUCCUGAAGUUAUUGGAAAGUUUUGCGCCUUCACCUUUCCUCUGAACAUAUUUUUUCUUUUCUUGUAUCAGUACCUGCACUCAUUUUACAACUCUGGCAAUCUUAUCAGUGCCCCCCUAUUCUUUUUUUGUUGUUGUUGGAGUUUAGGAGGAUUUAAAGGUUAGACCUACCCUUGUAUUGCUGUAGCCCACACCUGUAAACAAGUUUAUUUAACAUAAUUUUCUUAUGCUAGAAAAUUAAUUGGUUUUAGGUAUGUUGUCAUGCUAAAAUAAUUGCCUGAAACAUAGGGUGAUUAUUAUUAAAU